rnacentral:rRNA from 1 species
CCUACGGGUCGCAGCAGUGGGGAAUAUUGGACAAUGGGGGAAACCCUGAUCCAGCCAUACCGCGUGUGUGAAGAAGGUCUUAGGAUUGUAAAGCACUUUAAGUUGGGAGGAAGGGCAGUUAACUAAUAUUUGACUGUUUUGACGUUACCGACAGAAUAAGCACCGGCUAACUUCGUGCUAGCAGCCGCGGUAAUACGAAGGGUGCAAGCGUUAAUCGGAAUUACUGGGCGUAAAGCGCGCGUAGGUGGUUCGUUAAGUUAGGAGUGAAAGCCCCGGGCUCAACCUGGGAAUUGCUUCUAAAACUGGCGAGCUAGAGUAUGGUAGAGGGUGGUGGAAUUUCCUGUGUAGCGGUGAAAUGCGUAGAUAUAGGAAGGAACAUCAGUGGCGAAGGCGACCGCCUGGACUAAUACUGACACUGAGGUGCGAAAGCGUGGGGAGCAAACAGGAUUAGAUACCCCAGUAGUC